CAGAAGAGAAGACAGAGGAGGACCAUACCGUAAGAGAAAAUCAGCGUCUCAAACUCCCAACGAGACAAACAAGAACCAAUUCGAUCGUCCGGGGAUCGAUGGAGCCCGAUCCGUCCAAGUCGCCGACGGGGGGAUCUUCGUCGCUCAUCUUCCUGGGCACGGGCUGCUCCGGCGCGCUGCCCGACGCACGGUGCCUCCUCAAGCCGUCAACGCCGCCCUGCGCCGUCUGCUCCAUGGGCAUCUCCCUCCCUCCGGAGGGGAACCCCAACUACAGGCUCAACACCUCCCUCUUGGUAGACUAUUGCCAUGGAGAUGGAACCCACAAGUACAUCCUAAUCGACAUCGGCAAGACCUUCAGAGAGCAAGUUCUCCGGUGGUUUGUCCACCACAAAGUUCCUUACGUUGACUCGAUCAUUCUGACUCAUGAGCAUGCAGAUGCUGUAUUAGGCCUUGACGAAGUCUGGGUGGUACAACCAAGAAAUGACCGAAACGAUGUCGAGAAAAUUCCUAUCUUCCUCACACAAUUCACGAUGGACAGUAUCGCGAGAAGAUUCCCCUACUUGGUGGAGCAGAAGCCAGAGGAUGGCGAUGAAGAUGCCCAAGCCGCGAAAAUCGAGUGGAAGAUAGUUCAGGACGAUGUUGAGAAACCGUUUGUAGCAUCAGCACUAGAAUUUGUGCCAUUGCCGGUAAUGCAUGGAGAAGGGUAUAUUUGUUUAGGCUUCUUAUUUGGGAGGAGAGCCAGAGUUGCGUAUUUAUCUGAUGUCUCAAGAUUUCUACCUAAAACCAAGCAUGUGUGUAUCUCGGAGACAAGAGUCUUAAUACAUGUCAGUUACCAAAUAGUAGUAUUAACAAGGUUGCAAAUCAUAAUCACAUGCUAUUUCGAAGUCUGGUGCUGGACAAGUUGACCUACUUAUACUAGAAGCAAACUCUUUGCAUGGAGUUGGAGAUUCUUUCAGCACCCAUUUAACCCUCAGUGAGAGUCUUGAUGCUAUCAAGAGGAUCCAUCCUAAAAGAGCUCUGUUGAUUGGAAUGAGGCAUUUUUUUGAGCAUCAGAGAGAAAACCAGAUGUUGGCAGAAUGGUCUAUCAGAGAAGGAAUACCGACACAACUUGCUCAUGACGGCCUGCGAGUCUCCAUUGACUUGUAAUAAGGUAUGCAAGGUUGCUAUGCAAUACUUGAGGACGACUACUUGGCACCUUUGAACAAUUUAAAUCAUGUCAGUGCAGAUUGCAGCAUUCAUAUAUCUUUUUCUGAUUCAGCGAAGAUACACAAUAGCAGUAGUUGUAGCAGUUAUUUUGUGAUCUUUUAUGUAUCCAAAAGAUUGUAAGUUUGCUCAUGUUGAUAUUUAUAUACACCAUAUAGUAUAUUGUUCUAUUGUUCUCAAAUAGAUGUGACGGUAGUUCUUUUUUCAUGUAAAUUUCUCUUAUAUAAUGAAGUAAGGCUCAUGAGGCCCAAUAGUCC